rnacentral:rRNA from 1 species
AUGCUUAUGCUCGACCUGCAGUUCUCGCACGAGGAGCGCGCGCUAUUCUUCGCCUCCACUACCAUGAUCAUUGGGAAUGGCUUGACGGCGCUGUUUUGGGAAGAUCGCUGGAUUGAUGGGCAGUCCGUCUGUGAGGUCGCCCCUCUGCUCUACCAAUGCAUUCCCAAACGACGACACAAAGUCAGGACGGUGGCAGAUGGGAUGGCAGGUAACUCUUGGGUGAAUGAUAUACAGGGGAUCCUGGGCCUGCAUGAGAUCGGCCAAUACUUGCUGCUUUGGCAAGCAGUGUGUCACACCACCCUGACGAGCGAGUCGGAUCGCUUGCUCUGGAGGUGGACUGCCAACGGCAUAUACUCGGCGCGCUCGUGUUAUGCGGCCAGUUUUCAGGGAUCCACACAUUGCCCUUCCUGGCAGCUGGUCUGGAAGAGCUGGGUGCCACCACGGGUUAAAUUCUUCCAUUGGUUGGCCGCCCAGGAUCGCUGCUGGACUAAUGAAAGGCUUGUGCGAUGCGGAUUGCAGCAUCACCCUCGAUGCCUUCAUUGCGACCAGGCCAUGGAGACUAUUCAGCACCUGUUCCUGGCCUGCCCCUUUGCUCGCCAGACCUGGCAUAUCAUCCUUGACUGGCUGCAUAUUCCGGCCCCAAUUCCAAAUCAGGAAUCCACGGUCAUGGAGUGGUGGCUGCGUGCGAAAGAGCUCACGCCACCUGCGCACCUGAAGGCCCUCAAGUCCAUCGCGCUUCUUGUUCCCUGGAUGUUAUGGAAGCACAGGAACGCGUGUGUCUUCGACAACACCACGCCAUCCUUGGAAUUGCUAGUGGAUAGGAUCAAGGACGAGAUCCAAUGUUGGGCUAAGGCUGGAGCCCAGGGGCUUCGGGUUGUUCUGCCCACAACCUGGGACGUCCAUUGA